CAACCGAACCCAUCAGGGACAAGGCGAUAAUAAACAUUUUAAAGGACACAAACUCCAUCCUAAACAAAUUUUAAAAACGCAAAAAUAUAUAUAAAAACACAAUAAUCGCUUUAAAAGUUGAAGUUUUAAAAACCAUAAUCAAUAGUAAACAUUUAAACACUAAAAUCAUGAACUAAGAAAUAGAUAUAUUUUAGUCCGUGACUGAAAUCAAUGCUGUUUGAGAAAAUAUAAUAAUGAAAACUUGUGAUAUAGACUAGUAUUGAGUUAAACAAAAAUUACAAUACUAUACGGAAAAUGAAAUAUAUCAUUCUGGAAACGCAGAUAUUAAAUAAGUAUACAAGUCGAUAGUUGUGAUAGUAUAUCAUUUCAAUGAUAGAGAAUGAUAGCUGAUGUGCAAAAUCUGCAUAAGUGGAAUUCGUAUGGAAAUCGGUGACAUAUGCAGAUAUUUGAAAUAAUCAUU